CAGGCCUAACACAUGCAAGUCGAACGGAUCCUUCGGGAUUAGUGGCGGACGGGUGAGUAACACGUGGGAACGUGCCCUUUGGUUCGGAACAACUCAGGGAAACUUGAGCUAAUACCGGAUGUGCCCUUCGGGGGAAAGAUUUAUCGCCAUUGGAGCGGCCCGCGUCUGAUUAGCUAGUUGGUGGGGUAAAGGCCCACCAAGGCGACGAUCAGUAGCUGGUCUGAGAGGAUGAUCAGCCACAUUGGGACUGAGACACGGCCCAAACUCCUACGGGAGGCAGCAGUGGGGAAUCUUGCGCAAUGGGCGAAAGCCUGACGCAGCCAUGCCGCGUGAAUGAUGAAGGUCUUAGGAUUGUAAAAUUCUUUCACCNGGGGACGAUAAUGACGGUACCCGAGAAGAAGCCCCGGCUAACUUCGUGCCAGCAGCCGCGGUAAU
rnacentral:rRNA from 1 species